UUCCGGUUGAUCCUGCCGGAGGUCAUUGCUAUCGGGGUCCGAUUUAGCCAUGCUAGUCGUGCGAGUUUAGACUCGCGGCGUAUAGCUCAGUAACACGUGGCCAAACUACCCUACAGACGAGACCAACCUCGGGAAACUGAGGCUAACACUCGAUACGCGUUGUCUGUUUGAAGACGACGACGCUCAAACGCUCCGGCGCUGUAGGAUGUGGCUGCGGCCGAUUAGGUAGAUGGUGGGGUAACGGCCCACCAUGCCGAUAAUCGGUACGGGUUGUGAGAGCAAGAGCCCGGAGACGGAAUCUGAGACAAGAUUCCGGGCCCUACGGGGCGCAGCAGGCGCGAAACCUUUACACUGCACGCCAGUGCGAUAAGGGGACCCCGAAUGAAAGGGCAUAUCGCCCUUUCUUCUCUGAACCGUAGGGAGGUUCAGGAACAAGAGCUGGGCAAGACCGGUGCCAGCCGCCGCGGUAAUACCGGCAGCUCAAGUGAUGACCGAUUUUAUUGGGCCUAAAGCGUCCGUAGCUGGCCGCGCAAGUCUGUCGGGAAAUCCACCCGCUCAACGGGUGGGCGUCCGGCGGAAACUGUGCGGCUUGGGACAGGAAGGCUCGAGGGGUACGUUCGGGGUAGGAGUGAAAUCCUGUAAUCCUGAACGGACCACCGAUGGCGAAAAGCACCUCGAGAGGACUGAUCCGACAGUGAGGGACGAAAGCUGGGGUCUCGAACCGGAUUAGAUACCCGGGUAGUCCCAGCCGUAAACGAUGUUCGCUAGGUGUGACACUCACUACGAGUGAGUGUUGUGCCGCAGGGAAGCCGCUAAGCGAACCGCCUGGGAAGUACGUCCGCAAGGAUGAAACUUAAAGGAAUUGGCGGGGGAGCACUACAACCGGAGGAGCCUGCGGUUUAAUUGGAUUCAACGCCGG
rnacentral:rRNA from 1 species